UCACAUCUAAUACCUUUGAUG
rnacentral:siRNA from 1 species